GUUAUCUAUCUACAGACACAGGGCAUGAUGGGAGAUGUGGUCCAGCCUUGCUGGCGUGGCUGUAGCCGCCGUCUGAUGAGGUGUCCGUGAAUUCUCAGCGAGGGCGGCGGCGUCCGUCCCGUGUAAUAACAGUAAACCCUGAGGGGAAAAGUGACGGAUGUGGAGGGCCUGUGGCAGCGAUAGAAAGCGAGAGUGGGACUGUCAGACACGUCGACUCCGGCGCGGUGAUGGAUGGCGAGUGAGGACCAGCGCUCCCCUCCUCAGCUGUGAAACAGUCAAACUAAGCGACAUGGACUCUGUUUAAUGUGGCUGUGCUGCAGACCGGCCUAAUGCUUACUUGAUGAGUAAAACUGUUAUUCUAAUAAUGGUGGAGGGAGCCGGCUUUCUGCAGGUAGUUGUUAUGGAAACUGCAGCUGCAGCUUAACUGUACCAUCAGCCUCCUCUCUGACACCCCCCAUCUGCACACACAUCGGCUCUUCCUUUUCGAUCUGGUGAACACAGCGUGUUGGAGUCAUUACCAGAGUACAAAUGGUUAAGGACAGCGCCGAGACACGGGAGGGACGACGCUGAGGGGAUGUGGGCAAACCAGCGGCUGUUGUUGUCUGUGAGAUAGGAGGCUGUGUUCAUUCAUUCAUUCCUGCACAGGAGCCUCAU